ensembl:snoRNA SNORA71 Small nucleolar RNA SNORA71
ACCUGUCUCGAAAGUGACUGUGGAGUGACUCUGGUCUCCAGGUCAUUGAUAGAACAGGAAGAUCAAGUGAAAGACUUUCCCGUGUUUGCUGGAUCCUGUUCCUGACAAACCCUGACUCUUUCACACA